GCGGAGGAAAAGAAAAUAACAAUGAUUUCCCUAGUAACGGCGAGUGAAGAGGAAAGAGCUCAAAGUUGGAAACUGUUUGGCUUAGCUAAACCGUAUUGUAAACUGUAGAAACAUUUUCCUGGCACACCAGAUUAAUAAGUCCUUUGGAACAAGGCAUCAUGGAGGGUGAGAAUCCCGUCUUUGAUCUGAGUAGUUGUCUUUUGUGAUAUGUUUUCAAAGAGUCAGGUUGUUUGGGAAUGCAGCCUAAAUUGGGUGGUAAAUCUCACCUAAAGCUAAAUAUUUGCGAGAGACCGAUAGCGAACAAGUACCGUGAGGGAAAGAUGAAAAGAACUUUGAAAAGAGAGUUAAACAGUAUGUGAAAUUGUUAAAAGGGAACCGUUUGGAGCCAGACUGGUUUGUCUGUAAUCAACCUAGAAUUCGUUUUGGGUGCACUUGCAGACUAUACCUGCCAACAACAGUUUGAUUUGGAGGAAAAAAUUAAUAGGAAUGUAGCCUCUCGAGGUGUUAUAGACUAUUAUCAUACUCUGGAUUGGACUGAGGAACGCAGCGAAUGCCUUUAGGCAAGAUUGCUGGGUGCUUUCGCUAAUAAAUGUUAGAAUUUCUGCUUCGGGUGGUGCUAACGUUUAAAGGAGGAACACAUCUAGUAUAUUUUUUAUUCGCUUAGGUUGUUGGCUUAAUGACUCUAAAUGAC
rnacentral:rRNA from 1 species